AUGGGAUUUUUGCUCCUUGUAAUUUUCGCUGUAGCAGCUUUGGAAGGUGUCCGGUCCCAGGUCCAGCUGGUGGAGUCCGGAGGGGAUGUGAAAAAGCCCGGAGACUCUCUCCGCCUCUCCUGCAAAGCCUCCGGGUUCACCUUCAGCAGCUACUGGAUGAGCUGGGUCCGACAGGCUCCUGAGAAGGGACUGGAAUGGGUCACUGCUAUAAACCCUGGUGGGAGUAGUACAUACUACCAUGAUUCAGUGAAAGGCCGAUUCACCAUCUCCAGGGAUAAUUCCAAGAGUGAGCUGUAUCUGCAAAUGACCGGCCUGAAGCCCGAGGACACCGCACGCUAUUACUGUGCGAGGCUCUGGGAUGGGGAGUGCCCGGAUCACAGGGGCUGGGGUCAGGGCUUCAGAGGCCGAUUCACCAUCUCCAGGGAUAAUUCCAAGAGUGAGCUGUACCUGCAAAUGACCGGCCUGAAGCCCGAGGACACCGCCCGGUAUCACUGUGCAGGACUCACAGUGACUGGAAGCCGGGCUGAGUUCAGACAAAAAACGCCCGUGUCGGUUACCAGAGAAAGUCUCAGCUGGUUUGAUGCUGACAGGCCGCGCGCUGGGAGCUCACAGGAGACAGUAAUUUCCUCCCUUUGA